GGCCAGUGAUGCGAGUACAUAUUUGCUACUCUUGAUGGUUCUUUUAUAGAACCCAGUUGAUGACAUCUUAUCCACCAAGAUCUCUGAGGCC